rnacentral:snoRNA from 1 species
UUGUUUCUACUGUAGAUGCAAGAAAAAGAAGGUCCCCGUGCUUUCUGUCUGUCUGGUUGUGGCACCAAGAUUGAAUGGGGGAAUACAGGA